rnacentral:rRNA from 1 species
GAUGAACGCUAGCUACAGGCUUAACACAUGCAAGUCGAGGGGAAACGGCAUUGAGUGCUUGCACUCUUUGGACGUCGACCGGCGCACGGGUGAGUAACGCGUAUCCAACCUUCCCAUUACUGUGGGAUAACCUGCCGAAAGGCAGACUAAUACCGCAUAGUCUUCGAUGACGGCAUCAGAUUUGAAGUAAAGAUUUAUCGGUAAUGGAUGGGGAUGCGUCUGAUUAGCUUGUUGGCGGGGUAACGGCCCACCAAGGCUACGAUCAGUAGGGGUUCUGAGAGGAAGGUCCCCCACAUUGGAACUGAGACACGGUCCAAACUCCUACGGGAGGCAGCAGUGAGGAAGAUUGGUCAAUGGACGGAAGUCUGAACCAGCCAAGUAGCGUGCAGGAGGACGGCCCUAGGGGUUGUAAACUGCUUUUGUAUGGGGAUAAAGUUAGGGACGUGUCCCUAUUUGCAGGUACCAUACGAAUAAGGACCGGCUAAUUCCGUG